AAUCUUCGGCAAUGGGCGAAAAGCCUGACCGAGCGACGCCGCGUGGGGGAAGAAGGUUUUCGUAUCGUAAACCCCUGUCCUUGGGGACGAAGGUGACGGUACCCCAGGAGGAAGCCCCGGCUAACUACGUGCCAGCAGCCGCGGUAAUACGUAGGGGGCGAGCGUUGUCCGGAAUCACUGGGCGUAAAGGGUGCGUAGGCGGCUAUUUAAGUCCUGUGUGAAAGGCUCCGGCUCAACCGGGGAGUUGCAUGGGAAACUGGGUGGCUUGAGUGCUGGAGAGGGUUGCGGAAUUCCCGGCGUAGCGGUGAAAUGCGUAGAUAUCGGGAGGAACACCAGUGGCGAAGGCGGCAACCUGGACAGUGACUGACGCUGAGGCACGACAGCUGGGGGAGCGAAC
rnacentral:rRNA from 1 species